AUGAAAGGAAUGAGAGAAAAAGUACAAAUAGCUUCCAAGUUUGGCGUAAGUUUGAUAGAAGGGAAAAUGGACAUUUGUGGUGAUCCAGAGUAUUUAAGAGAUUGUUGUGAAGCUAGCUUGAAGCGACUAGAUAUCGACUGCAUUGAUCUUUAUUAUGUUCAUCGGAUUGAUAUCCGAGUGCCUAUUGAAAUCACGAUGGGAGAACUGAAGAAACUGGUUGAAGAGGGUGAAAUCAAAUACAUAGGUUUAUCCGAGGCUUGUGCAGCACCAAUCAGAAGGGCACACGCGGUGCAUCCAAUAACAGCUGUUCAGAUGGAGUGGUCUUUGUGGACCAGAGAUCUGGAGGAAGAAAUAGUUCCAAAUUGCAGAGAAUUAGGAAUCGGAAUUGUUCCGUACAGUCCUCUUGGACGAGGAUUCUUCUCAGCAGGUCCAGAGUUGAUUGAGAGCUCGGCCGAGGGUGACUUCCGCAAGAAUAUACCAAGGUUCAAGCCUGAAAAUUUUGAGCAGAACAAGCAAAUAUACGAGCAAGUCAAGGAAACAGCAUCAAGAAAGGGAUGCACCACAUCACAACUUGCAUUGUCUUGGAUUCUUCACAAAGGAGAUGACAUAUGCCCCAUACCCGGUACCACCAAGAUUGACAACCUCAACGAAAAUAUCGAAGCCAUAUCUGUAAACCUGACAACUGAUGAAAUGAAGCAGUUAGAGUCCUGUGCUGCUGAAGAUAUGGUUAAAGGUGAAAGGCACGCAUUCAUGUGGGCAACUUGGAUAAAUUCGGAGACUCCACCAUUGUCCUCCUGGAUAGAUGAAUAAUGGAUACUUUCUCGUCUUGCUUUGGAAGAAUCCCCGUUAAAGCCCAAGUCUAAUUCGAAGUAAAGGCUGAACCCGGGCUAAUGGCAGUUCAGCAUUACUUUCUAGCAGGUUAAAUAGAGACUAGGAUUUACAAAUCUACAAUGUUCUGGACAAAUGUAUAAUCACAGUGUGCACACAAUGUAGUUUGCUAGUAGUCUGAAGUUCUUUCGCUAGUGCAUACCUUUAUAUCCAAUUUUCCUUGUAUUUGUGAUGAAAAUUUAUUGUUAUCCCCUGUGUACCUUUGAUCCUUUGUGCGAUAGAGCCCUUCCACACAAGACUCCUGAAUCACUCCAAGUCUCGAUUUUUC